GACGAACGCUGGCGGCGUGCCUAAUACAUGCAAGUAGAACGCUGAAGGAGGAGCUUGCUUCUCUGGAUGAGUUGCGAACGGGUGAGUAACGCGUAGGUAACCUGCCUGGUAGCGGGGGAUAACUAUUGGAAACGAUAGCUAAUACCGCAUAAGAGUAGAUGUUGCAUGACAUUUGCUUAAAAGGUGCAAUUGCAUCACUACCAGAUGGACCUGCGUUGUAUUAGCUAGUUGGUGAGGUAACGGCUCACCAAGGCAACGAUACAUAGCCGACCUGAGAGGGUGAUCGGCCACACUGGGACUGAGACACGGCCCAGACUCCUACGGGAGGCAGCAGUAGGGAAUCUUCGGCAAUGGACGGAAGUCUGACCGAGCAACGCCGCGUGAGUGAAGAAGGUUUUCGGAUCGUAAAGCUCUGUUGUAAGAGAAGAACGAGUGUGAGAGUGGAAAGUUCACACUGUGACGGGAUCUUACCAGAAAGGGACGGCUAACUACGU
rnacentral:rRNA from 1 species